GGAAGGGUGGCCGAGUGGCUGAAGGCGGCGGUUUGCUAAACCGUUGUCUCGGGGUUUACCCGGGACCGAGGGUUCGAAUCCCUCCUCUUCCG
rnacentral:tRNA from 1 species